AGAUACUACAGAGUCUAAAAUAGAUCCAGCAGAUCAGCCCCCUGUGUUGGUAAAGGAGAAAGGGCUGGAUCCCACUUAAACCUACACUGGGUCUCCUUCAUUCAGCCUUGAGUCUAUUCAGUUAGUGAGCCUCCCCUGAAUCAGCUCAGCAGCUUUGCAGGACAGCACUCGAACAUGACCACACUGCAUUUUGAAAAACCCAGCAACAACAGCUUCAGUCAACAAGGACUACAUGUCCCUUCAGUGUUCUUAGUCUCUCACACAGACACCAAUCAGUCAUUGUCAAAUGCAGGAUUCAGGCACUACACAUAAUAACUCUUUCUCCUAAUACACACACAACAUUUUGCAGCUCAGGCACUGCUCGAGCACAGGGUGUUGUUCCCUUUGCACUUAAUAGCUCUUUUUCCUUUUUUUCCUUUUUUUUUUUUUCAGUUGUCUGUACCCCAAGGAUAUUUUUAAGGCCUACAAUAACCUGUGGCAAAGAGUUAGACAAUGCAUCACACUGCGGUGAGGCGCUGGCACAGGCUGCCCAGAGAGGUUGUGGGUGCCCGUGUCUGGAGGCAUUUUGAGGCCAGGUUGGGUGGGGCCCUGGGAAGCCUGAGCCGGUGGUGGCAGCCCUGCUCACAGCACAGGGUUGGAACUGGGUAGUAUUUUUGAGAUUCUUUCCAAUCCAAGCCAUUCUAUGACUCUGUGAGCCACAGGUUAUAGGCAGAACAAACCCUUCCUGCUUGUUCUGACCUUGUCAUCUGCUAGCUUCACUUGAGAGCUCUUAUUUUUGUCUUGAAGGGACAGUGUUUGCUUAAAAACUCCAUCAGGGAGGUGGUGGAGUCACCAUCCCUGGAGGUGCUCAAGAACCAUGUGGAUGUGGCACUGAGGGACAUGGUCAGUGGACAAUAUUGCUGAUGGGCUUGUGGUUGGAUGAGAUGACCUUAGAGGUCUUUUCCAGCCUUAAUGAUUCCACGACUGUCAAUGAGGCAGGCUGCCAAAAGCCUACAAAGCUGUAAGAAAGGAGUUUAAACCACAACAUUAUGGAGGCUUUUAUAUCAGUUUAAAACAGGUCACAUCAAUUGCACCUGCAAUCUGUAACCACAAGCUAAUCUGGUAAGUGUCCAUAUAGAAAACUGCAUUCACUUAGCAUUGUGACUUCAGUUAAACAAGCAUGACUCUAUCGGAAUGAGGUCUUUCAGACUGGCACACAUCAUGGCACAUGGAGACUCCUUCGGAAAGCUUUAUCAAUCACAACAGCUCAGGAGAUCCACUGGAUGCACUGAAGGCAACACUUUCCUUGGUAGACUACCUUGGCUUCAAGCAGCCCUGGCAGCUUUGUCCAACCCCUCUGCUUCCAAUGAUGCCCCGUGUCCGAGCAGGAAAAGAUGACAUGAUUGGGAGUCCAGUGUGUGGCAGCUGCAGCCCUGAGGUAAAUGAGAGGAUAGGGAGGCCCUGGGGUGUAGAGGGUGCAGCAGAGCCCAGCUUCAGGAGUAGUCCCCAAAACCCAGCCCUGGAUGCACUGUCCUGGAAUGGCCUGGGGACUGGAUGGGACCUACUGUGUCCUUGUCCCCAGCAGGCACAUGUUUGGCAUACAAAGGCGGUAGGUAUGCCAGCAGAAGUAAGACCCACUCUGUGAACUUUGUGCAUUGAGGCAAGUCUCCUUCCAACUACAAAGGUGUUCAACGGGAGACUUGACUUUUAAAUUAUCAAGAGCAAUUUUUUUUUUAAUGACUUUUCUUGCAGACCUGAAUGGCUGCCAGCACUUGUAAAUGGCAGGGACCCAAAGCUGCCGUUUGAAAGCUCUGGCAAGAGAGGACUGGCAACAGAAACAGUCUGGAUGAACUGCUUGGAGAAGUCUUCAGAGCCAUUCAACUCAGACACUGAUACUAGCUGAUUUCUGACUCCCAUUGCAGUUUAUUAUUAGGAGCCUGGAAGCAGACACCUCACUUCCUUUGAAAUAUCUCCUGACUCUCCCCCUCCAGUUUCCAUCUCCUGUCAGCAGCACCCCAGGAAUUCCAGAGAAAUGAGCAGAAGAGCUGUGAAUGGCAGCUCCACAGCCUUGGCGAGGGAGCAACCACCAUGAGCUAGUAUGGUUCUGUUUGCAGGGUAACAUCCCAAACAAUAGUGCUCCAGGAACAGAGAUGUGGGCCAUACCUGCAAUGAAAGCAGAAUUGUCUCAGCAGGGCAGGAGUUGCAGUUCACAAGGAGCGAACACCUCAUUAAAUUUCUGCUGCGUGUGAAAUAAAGCUGUUAAUGAUA